UACGGCGAGUGAGCGGCAACAGCUCAAAUUUGAAAUCUGGCGGCCUCUGGGCCGUCCGAGUUGUAAUUUGAAGAGGAUGCUUUUGGCGAGGCGCCUUCCGAGUGCCCUGGAACGGGACGCCACAGAGGGUGAGAGCCCCGUAUGGUUGGACGCCGAGCCUCUGUAAAGCUCCUUCGACGAGUCGAGUAGUUUGGGAAUGCUGCUCAAAAUGGGAGGUAAACCCCUUCUAAAGCUAAAUACUGGCCAGAGACCGAUAGCGCACAAGUAGAGUGAUCGAAAGAUGAAAAGCACUUUGAAAAGAGAGUUAAAUAGCACGUGAAAUUGUUGAAAGGGAAGCGCUUGCGACCAGACUUGUGCCCGUCGAAUCAGCCGCCGCUCGCCGGCGGCGCACUUCGGCGGGCUCAGGCCAGCAUCAGUUCGCUGCAGGGGGAGAAAGGCGGCGGGAAUGUGGCUCUUCGGAGUGUUAUAGCCCGCCGCGCAAUACCCCUCGGCGGACUGAGGACCGCGCAUCUGCAAGGAUGCU
rnacentral:rRNA from 1 species